rnacentral:rRNA from 1 species
AUUGAACGCUGGCGGCAGGCCUAACACAUGCAAGUCGGGCGGUAACAGGAAUCAGCUUGCUGAUUCGCUGACGAGCGGCGGACGGGUGAGUAAUGUCUGGGAAACUGCCUGAUGGAGGGGGAUAACUACUGGAAACCGUAGCUAAUACCGCAUAACGUCUACGCACCAAAGUGGGGGAACUUCGGGCCUCAUGCCAGCAGAUGUGCCCGGAUGGGAUUAGCUAGUAGGUGGGGUAACGGCUCACCUAGGCGACGAUCCCUAGCUGGUCUGAGAGGAUGACCAGCCACACUGGAACUGAGACACGGUCCAGACUCCUACGGGAGGCAGCAGUGGGGAAUAUUGCACAAUGGGCGCAAGCCUGAUGCAGCCAUGCCGCGUGUAUGAAGAAGGCCUUCGGGUUGUAAAGUACUUUCAGCGGGGAGGAAGGUGUUGUGGUUAAUAACCGCAGCAAUUGACGUUACCCGCAGAAGAAGCACCGGCUAACUCCGUGCCAGCAGCCGCAGUAA